rnacentral:rRNA from 1 species
AGAGUUUGUAUCCUGGCGUCAGGAUGAACGCUGGCGGCGUGCUUAACACAUGCAAGUCGAACGGACUCAUAUUGAAACCUAGUGAUUUAUGAGUUAGUGGCGGACGGGUGAGUAACGCGUGGAUAACCUGCCGUAUACCGGGGGAUAACACUUAGAAAUAGGUGCUAAUACCGCAUAAGCGCACGGCUCCGCAUGGGGCAGUGUGAAAAACUCCGGUGGUAUACGAUGGAUCCGCGUCUGAUUAGCUAGUUGGCGGGGUAACGGCCCACCAAGGCAGCGAUCAGUAGCCGGCCUGAGAGGGUGGACGGCCACAUUGGGACUGAGACACGGCCCAAACUCCUACGGGAGGCAGCAGUGGGGAAUAUUGCACAAUGGGGGAAACCCUGAUGCAGCGACGCCGCGUGAGUGAAGAAGUAUCUCGGUACGUAAAGCUCUAUCGGCAGGGAAGAAAAUGACGGUACCUGACUAAGAAGCCCCGGCUAACUACGUG